rnacentral:tRNA from 1 species
GCCUGGGUGGCUCAGUCAGUUAAGUGUCUGACUUUGGCUCAGGUCAUAACUUCACGGUUUGUGGGUUCGAGCCCUGCAUCAGGCU